rnacentral:rRNA from 1 species
UCAAGUGACUAAGUGCAUGCGGCGGAUGCCUUGGCGAUCACAGGCGAAGAAAGACGCGGCAGCCUGCGAAAAGCUGCGGGGAGCUGGCAAACGAGCUUUGAUCCGCAGAUAUCUGAAUGGGGGAACCCACACCGCAAGGUGUAUCCGUAGCUCAAUACAUAGGUUACGGAGGCGAACGAGGAGAACUGAAACAUCUAAGUAUCCUCAGGAAAAGAAAUCAACCGAGAUUCCGGCAGUAGCGGCGAGCGAACCCGGAGGAGCCCAGCUUUUGAUAGUACGAACUUUAGCCGAAAGGUCCUGGAAAGGCCUGCUAUAGUGGGUGAUAGCCCCGUAGGCGAAAGAGUUGGUACGGUACUAAGGAAGCGAGAAGUAGAGCGGGACACGUGGAAUCCUGUUCGAAGACGGGGGGACCAUCCUCCAAGGCUAAAUACUCGUGAUCGACCGAUAGUGAACCAGUACCGUGAGGGAAAGGCGAAAAGAACCCCGGGAGGGGAGUGAAAUAGAACCUGAAACCGCAUGCAUACAAACAGUAGGAGCCUCGUCAGAGGUGACUGCGUACCUUUUGCAUAAUGGGUCAGCGACUUACAUUCUGUGGCGAGCUUAACCGAAUAGGGGAGGCGCAGCGAAAGCGAGUUCGAAAUGAGCGUCCAGUCGCAGGGUGUAGACCCGAAACCAGAUGAGCUAUCCAUGGCCAGGUUGAAGGUGUGGUAACACACACUGGAGGACCGAACCGACUAGUGUUGCAAAAUUAGCGGAUGAGCUGUGGAUAGGGGUGAAAGGCCAAACAAAUCUGGAGAUAGCUGGUUCUCCCCGAAAACUAUUGAGGUAGUGCCUCGUGUGUCGCUCCAGGGGGUAGAGCACUGUUUUGGCUAGGGGGACAUGGAGUCUUACCAAACCAAGGCAAACUCCGAAUACCUGGAAGCGUAAGCACGGGAGACAGAGCACCGGGUGCUAACGUCCGGACUCAAAAGGGAAACAACCCAGACCGCCGGCUAAGGUCCCAAAUAACAGCUAAGUGGAAAACGAAGUGGAAAGGCCGUGACAACCAGGAAGUUGGCUUAGAAGCAGCCAUCCUUCAAAGAAAGCGUAAUAGCUCACUGGUCGAGUCCUUCUGCGCGGAAGAUGUAACGGGGCUAAGCUGUUAACCGAAGCCGCGGAUGCACUGGUUAUCCAGUGCGUGGUAGGGGAGCGUUCUGUAAGUCUGCGAAGGCGGUUCGAGAGGACUGCUGGAGAUAUCAGAAGUGCGAAUGCUGACAUGAGUAACGUUAAAGCAGGUGAAAAGCCUGCUCGCCGUAAGCCCAAGGAUUCCUGCUCUACGUUCAUCGGAGCAGGGUGAGUCGGCUCCUAAGGUCAGGCCGAAAGGCGUAGCCGAUGGGAAUCAGGUUAAUAUUCCUGAACCUGCGUCAGAUGCGAUGGGGGGACGGAGCAUGGAAGAUCAUCCGGGUGUUGGAAGUCCCGGUUGUUUAGCGUAGGAGGUCUGCAGGCAAAUCCGCAGACGCAUCUCCAAGGCAAAGACACGUGCCGCCACGGCGGCGAAGUGAUCGGAAGUGCUUCCAAGAAAAGCCUCUAAGCCCCAGUCUGACGCGGACCGUACCGCAAACCGACACUGGUGGGCGAGCUGAAUAUGCUCAGGCGCUUGAGAGAACUCGGGAGAAGGAACUCGGCAAAUUGACACCGUAACUUCGGAAGAAGGUGUGCCGUAGUACCGUGAGAGGAGAGACACCUUGAGCGGGAAACGGUCUCAGAGAAUAGGUGGCUGCGACUGUUUAUUAAAAACACAGCACUCUGCAAAGUCGAAAGACGACGUAUAGGGUGUGAUGCCUGCCCGGUGCUGGAAGAUUAAUUGAUGGGGUGAGAGCCCUUGAUCGAAGUCCCAGUAAACGGCGGCCGUAACUAUAACGGUCCUAAGGUAGCGAAAUUCCUUGUC